UAGGGAAUCUUCCGCAAUGGGCGAAAGCCUGACGGAGCAACGCCGCGUGAGUGAUGAAGGUCUUCGGAUCGUAAAACUCUGUUAUUAGGGAAGAACAAAUGUGUAAGUAACUAUGCACGUCUUGACGGUACCUAAUCAGAAAGCCACGGCUAACUACGUGCCAGCAGCCGCGGUAAUACGUAGGUGGCAAGCGUUAUCCGGAAUUAUUGGGCGUAAAGCGCGCGUAGGCGGUUUUUUAAGUCUUAUGUGAAAGCCCACGACUCAACCGUGAAGGGUCAUUGGAAACUGGAAAACUUGAGUGCAGAAGAGGAAAGUGGAAUUCCAUGUGUAGCGGUGAAAUGCGCAGAGAUAUGGAGGAACACCAGUGGCGAAGGCGACUUUCUGGUCUGUAACUGACGCUGAUGUGCGAAAGCGUGGGGAUCAAACAGG
rnacentral:rRNA from 1 species